UUGAGUUUUGAACGGGUUGUAGCUGGCCUCUAACGAGGUACUGUGCACGCCUGGCUCAUUCCACUCUCAACCUCUGUGCACCUUUUGUAGAAGAUGGCCGGCAGAGGAGGUCUUCAUGACCUCUGAAGUCUGCCUCUUCUAUGUUUUUACUACCAACGCUUCAGUUAAUGAAUGUCACUUUGCGGAUAACGCAUUUAUAUA
rnacentral:misc_RNA from 1 species